rnacentral:rRNA from 1 species
GAUGAACGCUGGCGGCGUGCCUAAUACAUGCAAGUCGAGCGAAUGGAUUAAGAGCUUGCUCUUAUGAAGUUAGCGGCGGACGGGUGAGUAACACGUGGGUAACCUGCCCAUAAGACUGGGAUAACUCCGGGAAACCGGGGCUAAUACCGGAUAACAUUUUGAACCGCAUGGUUCGAAAUUGAAAGGCGGCUUCGGCUGACCCUUAUGGAUGUACCCGCGUCGCAUUAGCUAGUUGGUGAGGUAACGGCUCACCAAGGCAACGAUGCGUAGCCGACCUGAGAGGGUGAUCGGCCACACUGGGACUGAGACACGGCCCAGACUCCUACGGGAGGCAGCAGUAGGGAAUCUUCCGCAAUGGACGAAAGUCUGACGGAGCAACGCCGCGUGAGUGAUGAAGGCUUUCGGGUCGUAAAACUCUGUUGUUAGGGAAGAACAAGUGCUAGUUGAAUAAGCUGGCACCUUGACGGUACCUAACCAGAAAGCCACGGCUAACUACGUGCCAGCAGCCGCAGUAA